ensembl:lncRNA
UGCUCAGAAACAAUGAUAGAAGUUUGAGCUGUCAAAACAAGAACGGUAAACUGUGGAAUUCACUUCCUACAUUGCGUCUCCAGUGGCAACCCGCGUUGCGCUUUACGGCGGGACGGAACGCCACUGACGUAAAACGCCGACGUGACAUUACGCGGCAGACGCUCGGCUCAGGUGGGUGGAUGAACGUGUACGACUGAGAAACUUAACCGUCAUCGAUGGUUUUGGUUUUUUUAAACUCAGCAAGCACACCCGGACAAAGACAUGGCCAAAGGAAAAGCAAAGACCAACAGCAGCAGUGUCAGCGCAGCUCAGCCUCGGUCCCUCAGGUCAAGGAAGAGGGAAUUCCCAAGUGAUGGACCCUCAGAGACUGAUGAUCAGGACGCUAAAGGAGGUCAUACAACAGUGGAUGCCUCGCUGUUACAAUGCCACCACUCCCCUCUGCAGGAACCUACUGUUAAAGCACCCGAAGAGAGAGAAGCGACUGCAGCCGCAGAUCCAAGCAGUGACUCUCAGCUAAAGGGCCUCAAAAGUCAUGCCGAUAACAAUGGAAACAGGGCUGAUAAGGAGGAAAUGACGGCAGAGGAAUUUAACACAUCGCCAUCCCAAACAUGCACGGAUCAACUCCAGGUCUUCUCACCGGCUUCUGAAGAGGGUGAUGAUGCUGCUCUGGAGGAUCAGCUGAGCGGGGAGGAGAACUCAUGUCAUUUUGAGAAAAAACAAGAAGUUAGCAAGGUGUACAUGACUGAUGUCAAGGAACACGCAAAGGAGGCAGCAGCGGGGUUGCCGGCCAAGAAGAAGCGAAGGAUGGGGAGGAACCUGAAGUCCACACUGCUUCGUGUGUCGUGUCCGACCCAGGCUGCUCAAAGGGAAAUAGUUGUGAGGUUGAGGGAGGCGAGAGGCCCGGUCCAGAGCCAACUGGCGCCCCGAAGUCAGACCUACCUGCAGUGGAGAAUGAGGAGGAGCUUUUGGGGAAUCAGUCGCAGCAGGAACACGAGGGAGGCACUGCGGAGGUUGUGGCUGAAAAACGUAUUCAACUGCAAUUGA